UGGGGAAUUUUGGACAAUGGGGGAAACCCUGAUCCAGCCAUCCCGCGUGUGCGAUGAAGGCCUUCGGGUUGUAAAGCACUUUUGGCAGGAAAGAAACGUCAUGGGUUAAUACCCCGUGAAACUGACGGUACCUGCAGAAUAAGCACCGGCUAACUACGUGCCAGCAGCCGCGGUAAUACGUAGGGUGCAAGCGUUAAUCGGAAUUACUGGGCGUAAAGCGUGCGCAGGCGGUUCGGAAAGAAAGAUGUGAAAUCCCAGAGCGCAACUUUGGAACUGCAUUUUUAACUACCGGUCUAGAGUGUGUAAGAGGGAGGUGGAAUUCCGCGUGUAGCAGUGAAAUGCGUAGGUAUGCGGAGGAACACCGAUGGCGAAGGCAGCCUCCUGGGAUAACACUGACGCUCAUGCACGAAAGCGUGGGGAGCAAACAGG
rnacentral:rRNA from 1 species